CAGCCCUGCUCUGCUGUGUGCCCACACCAAGCUGUGUGUGGGGAGGUGAUGGCAAAGCCCCCCAGCCCCCGUGGCAGCCGGCAGGUGCCUCCUGCAGGGCACAGCAGCCCUUUGUAGCCCCACACUGCCAUGGUCAGGGCCCCAGCCAUGCCCAGGGCUGCCAAGGCUGUGAGCACCAGCCCUGCAGAGCCCUGGCUGCAUGGCCAGGCAGGACACAAAGAGAGGCUUCCUAUAGAUCCUGCUCCAGGUGACAUCUGGCCUCAUUUAUGGACUUGGAUGGAUGGGGCACCCAGGUCUGUUCAGUCCCAGUAGGAGCCUUUGAUGAAAUCCCUGUACUGACCAAAGACUGACUCUGAAGGGCAGGAUCUCCACAGACAACCUCCUGCACAAGUUGGCGUCCUCCAAGCGUUGAGAGAGAAAAUAUUUAAUGGCUUAAAAAGGAAAAAGAGGCAAUGGAGCAGUUUAGAAAAUGCAAUUUCCUCAACAACUUUGUGAUUUGAAGAACUGGCGCUAUAAAAGGGGAAACCAAAUUUGUGGGAAGGAUGAAAUUAUUUUCCCCAAGCCCAAUAAUCACCCUGGCUUAAGCUAGGAGUUUUUGCUCCACAAACUGCCCCUGUUUUUGCUCCUGUUGUCACAAACUGUGAAACUAUGGUGCAUGCCUAUCAGGCUACACUGCAGUUGCAAAUUAACCAGUGUGUUCAGUAGUCCUCCUUUCACCAUCAAUGUAGUCUUCAGUGAUGCCUGGGGAAGGAAGAGGGUUUUCCUUCAUGUUUCACAGUGUUUCUCCUACUCUCAUAGACUCUUAAUCCUUCAUGGUUUUCUCAGUGCUGCUCAGCCCUGGGAACUCUACCUGGAAUAAGCAAAACAAGUUACAGUGGAGACAAAAGUGACAAAAAAUCAUUGAACUUUACAGCAGAUAACCCAGGGUAUGACUUCCAAAUUAUACCCGGUUACUCAGCAGUCAAAAACACAAGAGCAGCCAGUACAGAUGAAUAUUCACCUGAUUUUACAGUGUAAUUGCUUCUCACUUAAAAUUUGACCUUUUUUUUUCCUUUCCUCCCAGAAUUACUAACAGAACUGAAAAAUAACUCUGAUCCUCUUACCUUUGCAUGCACAAAAUUCUUAGCAAAAUACAAGAAAAAAAAAAAAGGCAUUUCUCUUGUGUUGUGCUUGCACAGUGUCAAUGGCAAAGCAAAGUCUAAGGGCAUAAAUAAGGUGAAAUGUUGCUCUGUGGUGAUGCAGAGACUGAAGGGACUGGGUUUUAAGCAGUGUCCCUCCACAUUGGCUUUUCUGAUAAAGGCAGAAGAAUUUGUAUCAUGCACCAAAAAGCUCAGCUUCCAGCUUUGUGUGCCCCUCUUCUUGUGGUACUUUCCACCUGUUCCCUGUGGGUACCUGGAUGAGACAAAGGAUACCUGUGCUCAGGUAGCUUCUGAUUCAGAUUGCUUCUGGGUUCACUUGAAAUCCCAGUCAGGAACUUUCCGUCUUUACUGUUUUGUAAUCAAAGAUGCAGAGGCUGCAAUUCAGCCAGGAUGUGUUUGCUGGGCUGAGAGCUCUUGGGUACAGCCCAUCCUUCCUUCCCUCCCACUGCAAACACAUCAGGGCAUCCUUCUUUUAAAUACCUACUUUUAAGCUCCCCUAUCAAAAUGUCAGAAUUAUUAGGGAAAAGUGUUUAUUGCCACACUUUCCUUGAUACAUGUGCUGUAUCAUAGAUGGCUUCUGCUGAGUGUGUGCUGGGUGCUUUUGGCAGAUGUUCAGUUUGCACUGGAGGCUGUUUGUGCCUGGCUGGGGGUGCAGGGGAGCAGAGUGGUCACUUGUGCAGGUGGGAUGAUGCUAGGUGACACAGGUUUGGCAGGAAAGGCAGCAGGCUGUGGGGGAUACCCUCAACACUGCUGGGGUACCUGGGGCAGAGCAGCUGAUUCCCACUGAUUUGGGAAGAGGAUUCUAGAAACCCUGAGGCAGGGAGCAUGUUGGGUGACACCUGUGUGGGCUGAGAGCAGAGUGAUACCACCUACAAGAGGGGCUCAUGCCUCCAUCCCUGUUUUUAGGGGAUACAUUGGAGCCUGCCUGCACAUGCCUGCUCCCACUUUGCCUUUGGGAGGGCACCCCAAGACACCAACAGGGAGCAGACUGGAAAAGGGUGAUGCAAAAGGCACCCUGGGCUUUGCUGGGCCUUGGUGGUGCUCCCUGCAAAUGUCUCUCCCUUUCUCAUCCCCUGCUGCAGUUUGGGCUUGGCUCCUGGGCAGGCAGCACUCUGCUCCCUGCCUGCUGUGGGGAGCACGAGGCUCACAUGGACCAAAAUGUGUCAAAAGCAUUUCCUCAAAUAGUCAGUUUUAAUUUUAAUAAGUCGUGUUUAGUAGCCUUAAGGACACUGGCUGUGUGAGAGGAAAGGAUUAUUAUGUCUGAAAACAAAGGGCUGCUGAGAGCUGGUGUGGGGUGAGAGGCAUCACAUCUUCCUUAAGAGAGAGGAGCCCUUGCCAUGUGGUUGGAAAGCGUGGUGGGAUUGACAGGGGAAGCACUUGGACUGAGAAAUCUUCUUUUAGAUUAAGCAACAAAAUUCUGCAUGCACAUACAGACUAGAUCUUCAUACCGCGGCAGGCUUUGACAGUGUACUGCAGCAUUAUUGCUAUUUAUAAUCCACAAUUACUAACACUAUAAUCCAGUAAAUUUAGUGGUAGCAAUUACAGCAACAUAAAUAGCAAUCCAGAUGACUAAAGGCAUUGCUGUCAAUGCAGGUGGCAGCUACAGCAUUAGAAAAAGAAGUUGGAGGGAUGAUACCAGGACUCGAUAUGUGAGCUUGGGUCUGCUAGUCUUUUAUAUACCAUUUUUAAUAUACUUCCUGAAAUGAAGCUUCAGAAAGGUACACUGCCUCUUUAAAAUUAGUCUAGGAACUACAGGUAGUUCACAUUAUUUUUAAAAUAAUAAAUCUCUAUAUAUAUCUAUAUUAAAAUAUAUAUGUAUACAUAAGUUGGCUAGCCUACCUUGUGGAAAGGCUGCAGCUAAACUAAGUCUGAGCUAAUAUUGUAUUACCAUGGUCCUCUGGUUUGUAGAUAGCCCUUCCUUAUUAGAUGAGGUUCUGUUCUUGCUCCACAGAAGGUGCCUGUGUAUAUAACUCCUUUGUAUUGCUUUCUGCAGAGUCCCUUAUAUAUUUCUUACUACUAAUGCUGUGUAGAAAAGGAAACCCAGAGAUUUUACUACUGAUAAUUAACCAUAUAAUGGCCAUUAGCAAAAUAAAGAUUUAGUUGUUUGGGAAACAGAUUAUUUAUAUUGUGUAUGGUUUAUUGCCUGAUAACUUGUUUGGUGACUGGAUAUUCUUUUCCUUCUCCUAGUCCUUUUCUGCUUUUUCCAGCUAUGGUGUUUACUCCUCACUUUGAUUAUCUAGCAGGCAAUAAAGUA
rnacentral:lncRNA from 1 species